GCUGAAGAGAGGAGCUUGCUCUUCUUGGAUGAGUUGCGAACGGGUGAGUAACGCGUAGGUAACCUGCCUUGUAGCGGGGGAUAACUAUUGGAAACGAUAGCUAAUACCGCAUAACAAUGGAUGACACAUGUCAUUUAUUUGAAAGGGGCAAUUGCUCCACUACAAGAUGGACCUGCGUUGUAUUAGCUAGUAGGUGAGGUAACGGCUCACCUAGGCGACGAUACAUAGCCGACCUGAGAGGGUGAUCGGCCACACUGGGACUGAGACACGGCCCAGACUCCUACGGGAGGCAGCAGUAGGGAAUCUUCGGCAAUGGGGGCAACCCUGACCGAGCAACGCCGCGUGAGUGAAGAAGGUUUUCGGAUCGUAAAGCUCUGUUGUAAGUCAAGAACGAGUGUGAGAGUGGAAAGUUCACACUGUGACGGUAGCUUACCAGAAAGGGACGGCUAACUACGUGCCAGCAGCCGCGGUAAUACGUAGGUCCCGAGCGUUGUCCGGAUUUAUUGGGCGUAAAGCGAGCGCAGGCGGUUUGAUAAGUCUGAAGUUAAAGGCUGUGGCUCAACCAUAGUUCGCUUUGGAAACUGUCAAACUUGAGUGCAGAAGGGGAGAGUGGAAUUCCAUGUGUAGCGGUGAAAUGCGUAGAUAUAUGGAGGAACACCGGUGGCGAAAGCGGCUCUCUGGUCUGUAACUGACGCUGAGGCUCGAAAGCGUGGGGAGCGAACAGGAUUAGAUACCCUGGUAGUCCACGCCGUAAACGAUGAGUGCUAGGUGUUGGAUCCUUUCCGGGAUUCAGUGCCGCAGCUAACGCAUUAAGCACUCCGCCUGGGGAGUACGACCGCAAGGUUGAAACUCAAAGGAAUUGACGGGGGCCCGCACAAGCGGUGGAGCAUGUGGUUUAAUUCGAAGCAACGCGAAGAACCUUACCAGGUCUUGACAUCCCGAUGCUAUUUCUAGAGAUAGAAAGUUACUUCGGUACAUCGGUGACAGGUGGUGCAUGGUUGUCGUCAGCUCGUGUCGUGAGAUGUUGGGUUAAGUCCCGCAACGAGCGCAACCCCUAUUGUUAGUUGCCAUCAUUCAGUUGGGCACUCUAGCGAGACUGCCGGUAAUAAACCGGAGGAAGGUGGGGAUGACGUCAAAUCAUCAUGCCCCUUAUGACCUGGGCUACACACGUGCUACAAUGGUUGGUACAACGAGUUGCGAGUCGGUGACGGCAAGCUAAUCUCUUAAAGCCAAUCUCAGUUCGGAUUGUAGGCUGCAACUCGCCUACAUGAAGUCGGAAUCGCUAGUAAUCGCGGAUCAGCACGCCGCGGUGAAUACGUUCCCGGGCCUUGUACACACCGCCCGUCACACCACGAGAGUUUGUAACACCCGAAGUCGGUGAGGUAACCUUUGGAGCC
rnacentral:rRNA from 1 species